UGCGUAGGUGGUUUUUCAAGUCAGGAGUGAAAGGCUACGGCUCAACCGUAGUAAGCUCUUGAAACUGUUAAACUUGAGUGCAGGAGAGGAGAGUGGAAUUCCUAGUGUAGCGGUGAAAUGCGUAGAUAUUAGGAGGAACACCAGUUGCGAAGGCGGCUCUCUGGACUGUAACUGACACUGAGGCACGAAAGCGUGGGGAGCAAAACA
rnacentral:rRNA from 1 species